GCGCUCAUUCACGUUAAACAGCAAUGAUCCCACAAAUAGGAAUACAACAAAACUCAUUAUUAAUAUCCCAAGAUAUUGUGUAUUCGAUCUGCAGCAUUUACGGUAUUUGCUGCUUUUAAACAAUCACUUAAUACCGUCAUAAACAUGAAGGCGAUACUUGUAAAAUCGUCUAAGUUUCCGAAAUUAAAGACAAUAUCCAGGAAUUCGAAUAACAUCAGACUGUACAAUCCAAGAAAACUCACAAAACUGUAACAGUUGUACAAGAAUUUUGACAUUGGAGAAUAGUAAUCGAGUGGUCUCCAAAAACCGCCUAUCGUCCACAACUUAAAGCACAACGGCAGAAUUUCCAUGUCCGAGAUGUCGUUGCGUCGCCCCACUAUUUUCAACUGGCGACUGUCGCUCACCCGAGGGUGAGCAGCAAUGACGGAUCGCAUUAAUGAUGCAGCAUCCAAUAGUCUUUACGCUGAUCCGAUGUUCCGUGGUCCCUAUUGAUCCUAUGGAUGCCAUUAAAAAUUGCUGAGGGUCUUUACGCUAAACGGAAGCUCACGUUGCAUAUCGAGUUGAGGUAGUUUCGCGCAUUAUCGAAUAAAGAAUUCAUUGGGUAUUUUCCUGUUUCGCUGGGGGGAUGAUGUGCACCAAGAAACACAGCGUCUCAAUGAUAUCGAUUGGCCAAUGCUAUGGGGUGAGUAAAAAGUGACUAUCAUAGAAAGGAUAGAGAAUAACAUACUUGGAUUUGCAUUGUAGGGAAUAGAUAUCCUUUUUAUAUUGCUAAUUGUGGCACUAUACAUAUUUGUAGGCAACUUUCAUUUUCAUUUUCUUCACUCAUAUCACAUUGCAUUCUACCUAAUCAACUUUUUUUCAAAUAAUCAAUGCCAAUUUAUUUGUUUGAAAUAUAUUUCUUAACAGUCAAUAUAAUUUGAUGCUUGUCAUGCUUUAAGCUUGAUAAAUCUGAGAUAAUCGAGACUAAAUCGCUGUUGGGUCAGCGACACACAAAUAAAUCAAAUGUGUCAAAGGAAGUGCAUAAACACAAUCACGAAUUCCACACUAAAUAUAUGCAAUUUAAAUCAAUUUAAUUACACAGUAAAGCAGACAAUCACCGUAUCCUAUGAAUAGUGAAUAAAAAGUUGUCCAGUUGUCAUGACUGUCAAUAUUCAUUAUUAAUUUGGUAAUGGUACUCGUGCGUGUCAACGUCAAACCAUAUUUUUCCAUCACCAGUAUCAUUGUUGAUCCAACAAUCUGAUCCCGUUCAGACAAAUCAUAUAUAGUCCCAGAAUCAUUCCUUGAUGUUCAUCUUUAUAAGUCAUCCAUAAUCUUCGUGGUUUCUGACAAGUCGUAGUGGCGAUGUCACAAAGUAUUAUAUUGGAAAUCUGCUUUAGUUCCAUGGAUUGCUGUACUCCUUUGUAUUAUCGACAGUUCCACAGCACAGAGUAACCAUUUCAGAAAUUAAUAUGACAUUGCACAGAAAGUUUCAGGAACUAUAUCAGUGUUUAUUCACAGUGAAAUGUAUACAGUGUGCUAUACUGUAACACACAGUAGAUACAAUAAGGUGCACACAGACUGAAAAUGAGGCGCAAUAAUUGAACGAGGGUGUUAAGCAGAGUUAUUAUGCAAAUUGUAUGGAAUGUAAGCCACGAUGGACUGGGGGUUUGCAGUGAUACGCAAGAGGAUCAGUUACAUUAAACCUAAGCCUCCUUCGAGGGAGAACAGACAUGUAAGCUGUGCACUAAUAAUAAUUCUUUAUCGGUCUCUAUGGUCAGGGUGCAUGAAAUAAUACUAUGUGCACUUUGUAGUCUAUAGGUAAGUGCAUUCUUAAUGUGAAUAUUAUUUCUUAUAAUUUACAUUACCGUACUGUGUCAAGUGCAAUCUUAAAUUAAUUAUUAUUUACUAUAGUGUGCAACAUUAUACUAUAGAUAAGUGCAUCCUUAAAAGUAUUUCUUAGAGUGUGCAAUGCAAUACUAUGAUAAUUGCAUUCUUAAGUUAAAUAUUUGCUAUAGUGUGCGAUAUAAUACUAUAAAUAAGUGCACCCUUGAUGUGGGCAUUAUUUUCUAUGGUGCACAAUAUAAUAUUAUAGAUAAGUGGACCCUUAAUGUGGGCAUUAUUUUGUACGGUGUGCAAUAUUAUAUUAUGAUAAGUGCAUUAUUAAAUUAAAUGUUAUUUGCUAAGGUCUUAAACACUAUAUUAUAUAUAAAUGUGCAUUAUUAUUAUAAUGUACGACACUAUACUCUUGAUAAGUGCAUCCUUAUUGUGAAUACUAAUUCUGACAGUGUGCAACACACAUACUAUUAUAAGUGUAUUCUUAAUUUUACUAUUUGCUACAGUGUGGGACAUAAUACUAUAUGCAAGUGCUGUUCUAUAUAAACCAGUAAUUUGCUACAUGGUUAGAGUUGUUUGUUUGCUGAGGAUAAAAGAAAUAUCAGUGCAGGAAAUGGGAUAGUAUUAGGGGAAAGAGGGACGUGGGGGGAGUGGGGGAUAUUGAUUUAUCAAUUAGUUGCAAUUGAUGGUUUGAACACUUUUGUGGUAUUAUAUUAUUUGUUUGACUGUUGCGUUGAAAAUUUAGCAAAGCACGUGAUAGAAGUAUUAGUCUCGUGAUGCACACAAUAUUUUUUUUAUUGCAAAAGAGUGAAA